rnacentral:lncRNA from 1 species
CUCUUAAAAUAUAAAAGAAUCAAUAACUUAAGAUUCAAAUAAACAUGAGACGAGCAUAGAUUCAAGAUUUGCUAAAUGAAUAUACAAAUGUUUCCAUAGAAAAAUAGCAUGCAUUAAAGAUUGUAAGUUAUAGCUAGCAACCUAACAAGGGAGCAUUUGAGUAACGAGUACAAAUCACAGAGGUAAAAAAAAACAAUACAAACAUAUUACAAGUUAUAUCUUCAAGUAUAACCAUGAACUGCUCCUAGUGUUUUCCAUAGGACGGAUCAUAUAUCAGGAACUUGAAAUAUGCCUCUAUGAUGGUGAGGUAUAACUCGACAAGCUUGAGGUAGACAUGCUCCUUAUUACCGUUCCUCUCUUCGUCUUUUAAAUUCAGUUAUAGGUACCUACCUGCAAAUGAGUCAAGAAAGAGCACUGAACCACUGAUGAUCUCUGUACAUGAGAUGCAUGUCUGCUGGCAAUGUUCUCUUUUGAAAGGUUCUUACAUAAACCUAUGGCAACCAUCGACAUUCCGGGGAUGAUAUACAAAGUAGGCAUUUCAUUGUUGCCUAGACUUCUCAAGCCAUUCAGUUUUUCGGGCAGGAUAUGCACCAAAACAUGCACCAGCGUCUAACCAUAUGCACCGAAACAGCACUGGGAAGUUCUAGUUGUAGGAACUAAGCAAUGCAACAAAAGAGUAGGAUUGUAAGAAAAGAAACAGUAGACAAUACCAGAGUCUAACCAUAACAGUCCAGGCCCCAUAAUCUCAAACAACUUGGGAGUGUGUCCAUCCUUGACUCUUGAUCAGAAUAACGGCAACGACCAGUACUGCAGCCUAAAACAGAAAUCCCAAUAGUGAAAAUGAAACGUUUCUCUAAUUAGAACCACAUGCCCUAAUUAUUCGAAGGAAAAAUUAAAAUCAAGGAGAGGAAACGACGUGAUGAGCAAUACUAUGUAUGUGUGAUAUCCGGACCAUUAGGGUCUAGGUGAAGGAGUGUAAUGCAGCAGGCUUAAGCAUCAACAGCUUUUUUUCAGUCAGCGGGAAAACCAGUUAAAACCCUGAACCUUUCAUCAGACUUCAUUUAAAGAAAAACAGUAAAGCAAUAAUGAUAUAUCCAAUCAGAAAACUUGUUAGUAUUGAAGGGUCACUGGAGCAAGAAAAGAAAGAUGAGUUAAUACAGACACCAGAAACUCCAUGUGAAUUAAGACAGAUAAAAAUAGAAAUCAACAAACUUCUUAUAGAUAAGUCAGACUCUUGAAGAUUGUUGCUAUAAAAGAGAACAGAUGAAACUUGCGAUUAAAUAAGAUUUAUAUAUGAACUUAUGUCCACACGGAUAGGCCAUGGAUCAACAUCUGAAUUAGCAUCCCAGUAAGCAUCAUAUCAUACAUGACAAAUGACGGGACAGAAUUAUACUUACAAGAUAGUUAAAUAUGUCAGCUUUCCAAGACCAGGAGAAAUAAACCCGAUCAAAAAAUAAAUCCCCUGAAAAUAGAUGAUGUGCGAAAAAUGGGAAGAAUACUAAUUAAUAAACUACGAAAAGCAAAGCAACAUAUAAAAUACACCCUUAUAGGUAAUGCAAUGUCGACAUAUAACUAAGCUCUGGCGGGAACCGGGUUCAGUUAGCCUAUUGCCUUGUAGGUAUCUAACAUCAAAAAAUAAUACUAUGAAUCAGCCUUACUAUUACAAAAUGUUUGACAAAAGCUAGAAUAUUCUAUCAGUGCAACUGGACAGGUAAAAGCAUCACUGAUCAAAUCAACUACUUUGAUUGACAUAUAGAUUGACUACUUGAACCAACCACGUAAGGAACAUCCUCUCUAUUCCUAGCACCUUCUAUUUGUAUGAAUAACAAACCUGAGAUUAACCUACGUCCCUAAUCGAUAACACAUAUAUUUCAGCAAGUGACAACCCAGUGCAAAGCUAGAGCAAAACUGAUUUAAGUCUGAAUAUAAAGGCAGUAAAAAAAAUUAAUACAAUUGCAGAUGAUGGUUCUUACCGGUUAACAAACUUCAUUUUUGAUCAGUUGGGUUCACUUCUUAACAUCAGAGCCAGUGUCCAAGUAGGUUGACACGCAAUCUAGCUUAACAUAUUAUCUUGUUCCACCAUCAUGGGCUGCUCCUCAUAGAAACCAUCGACAUUCUGAAAUACUAAAUCAGUAACUUUAUGAUGUACUAAUGGAAACUAAGACAAAGUUAAUCAGGUUCUUGACUUUUUUUUUUCUUGCAAUAACCAACCGAGAGACACACAAAAAUUAGCAUCUGAUACUUUUCCCAUCAGAAAACGUAUUUUAGUGCAUUACAUGGUAAAAUUGAAUUUGAUCAUUUUAUCUCACACCAAUCUGUUGAAGAAAACUCAACAUUUUUUAUACCGCUCGCAUCAAUGUUGGAGAAGAAAUCUUUUGUCUAAUAAAGAUUUGUAACAGCACAUGUCUAUGUUCCUAUUCACUGCAGCAAGGAAGAGAAAUAGCUUGGGUUGACUGCUCACCGUUGGGGUGAUGAAUGUGAUUUUCAGUGGACGGCAAAGUAGUCUUGGUGGUGACCGACGGACAACUCCCAUAGUGGCAGAGUAGUUUUGGUGGUGGCCGACGGAC